rnacentral:tmRNA from 1 species
CUAUAUUUUUGGGGCCGGGCAACCGGCUAUGGCGAUAAAUGUUCUGUGGAAUAGGCGUGACGGACCCGGGGGCAGUACCCGGCGCCUCCACCAAUUCCCGCUCCGGGACGCGGGUUCCGGGGCGGGCCUCGCGGGGGCGAACCAGGCUCGACGUGCGCGGUAAAGGCAGGACUUUCGCUCGGUAUGGUUCCGCCGUAACGGGCCAUCGACAAAUGCCAACGACAACGUUGCAUUUGCUGCUGCCGCCUAAACAGCGGUAACGGGGUUCGGGGGGCACCUGGCAACAGAAGCCCCCCACU